CCAGUAAGAUUGUUUUAUUCCCUUAAUUUAUCUCUCAUCAAAACGUUGGUAAACUUCUAACAAAAAGAUUAGGUAAAUUGAACAUUAACGUUAUUUUUUUCCCCGACUGCAAGGUCCGUAGACCAGAGGGAUAGCAGUGUGUGUCUCUCUACUCACCCAGUAUGUCCGUCAGAGCAGCCGUCCCACCUCAGACACAAAGU